UUCAGCGAUUUCCAUUGGUUCUGUACAGGAUAAUACCGUGAGCCGGACCAAUAAAGCUUCUGCACCUGGAAAACUCUGAAACUGCGUAUGCUUCUCUGCUGAAACGUUAAGGGGUUCAGAGUUCGGAGUCCUCAGAGAGGAAGGAGAUCAUUUUUAGUAUCGAUGUAUGGCUCCAUCCGCUUUGGAUGUCUCUAUCGUUAACUCUACAGCGAAGCUUCUGGCAAUAUUGGAUCUCAACGAAGAACCAAAAGAGUUGCAGAAUAUGGAUGAUAUGGACAUUGAUCUGGUAGUGGAUGUUCCUGACACUCCGGAUAGAUUUGCGAUCAGUAAGAAUGGCGUGGUAGGUGGUGAGAAGGAUGUUAAUUCACCAGUAGCUGGUAAUUCUGAGAAUUCUGAGUAUCUGUAUAGAGGGGUCACCAAUCGUCUAAGGCGCCACGGCAAGGUGAUCGCAGAAGGUAUCAACAACAAAAGACUUCAUCCUCAGCCAUGGAAAGAUCUAAGUAUUCAUAAUGUAACUGAGCAUGGCAGUUCAUCUGUUGUCAACUCAUUAGACAACACUUCGGUUUCCAAAAAUGCUCCUCUCUUCAGGAGGCUGUCACACCAUAACCCCAGGUUGGAGUCUGAACCUUUUGAACAACCUAAACAUGCAGAACAUGUGCCUUCUCGUUUUUGUGGUCAUGGAGAUCAUAGAGCUAACCUUGGUGCCGACUGUUCUGGCAUUGCUGAGGAAUCAGCAUCUGAUGUCGGAAUUCAAGACGGAACUGGAAGUAAUAGACAAGUGAUAAAUUUGUCGAGCCCAGAAAUCCCUCCUUACUCUGUUAGUGAUAGAAAUACAAGAAGGAAGAUGUUUACAGGGAACAUUAACUUAGAUAAAGGAAAAGGCUUAUGUGCUGAGGUUCCUUUUAGACAUUCUGCUUGCGUAAAUAAGAACGGUGUUCUAAAUUUGACUGGACAACAUGAGCAUACUGGAAAACCUGAAAAGGCAUGGGGCAAAUUGAAAGAUUUUACGAGUGAAGAGACAAGAAGAGGCUCGAUAGCAGUCAAUGGUUGUUCUUCUUUACAUGCUCACAUGAAAAGUAUUGAUUUAAGCCAUGAUUCUCAUCCAAAUACCAGAGAGUUGUCGACAAUAAGGUCUCUUCAGCCUAUUAUGUCACCUAGGAGAACAGGUCAAAAAAGGCUUGUACGCAAUGGGUGUAUCUCUCCAUUUAAUAUCACAAGGGCUAAACAAACUACUGAGAACUAUGGUAAGAGUCCUGUUGAUGGUGAGCAGGCUGAUGCUGGUGGAGUGAUUUCCAAUGUGGAUGGUUCAUCGUGUCAAAGAAGCGUAGUUAACCCUCAUUCUGAAGGUAAUCAGACUGACAAAGAUAAAGGAAAAGGCGUAGUUAGAGAUCCAAAUCCAACAGAAGAGCAUGAUGUGGAAGGCUUGCGAUUGCCAAGCAGAGGUUCUGUGAAUAAUUCGGAAGAGGAUAAUGAAACGAGAUACGGCAGUGGUAAUGCUUUCAGAUGCUUUGAAGGUAUUGGUGGUUGGAGAAGCACCCGUGAUCAUUUCAAAACGGCAUCUGCACCACCAUCUGAUGAGGUUGUUUGUUCUUCCAGAAGUGAUCAGAGACAUGUUAAUAGAACAGAAAAUACGGAUCAUUUGAGUGUCUUACAUAAUAGCUCGGCAACCGACCUCGUUGAAGUUAGCGAUCAGCCUUCUUUUCAGCAUAAUCCUACUUCACUUUUAGCUCAAUCAUCUUCUAGUGUAUUGCCUGAGUCGGCUGGAGAAAAUGGACAACAACGUGGAGCAAACAAGCUAAUGAAAUGGCAGAAGAAAGAGGGCUCAACUCGCAGUAAUCUUGGUGAAUGCUCUACUCCAACCCCUAAUGAUUCAGACGUUGCUUAUAUAUUGUCAUCUGGAGAAUCUACUAAUGCUAGAUCAAUUAGAAGAAGAAAUCCUCAUCACCGCGGCAACUCAGGUCUAGUUAUAGUGAUUGAUGAGUUAUCCCCUGAAACAAGAGGUGGCAACUCUGUAGAUACAAGUCAAUUGGAUGAUAAUGACUCAGAUGCUAGGGCGCGACAAGUGGAAGCUGAUGAGAUAUUGGCUCAACAACUACAAGAACAACUCUAUUCUGAGUUGCCAGGAGUUGUUGGAGAGUUGGAUGCAAAUAUUGCCUGGACACUGCAGCAGGAGGAGGAUGCCAGGCCUGCAUCGUAUCACGGGAAUCCACUUUCAUCACAUCCCAGAGACCCAUCAAUGUCCCACCUAUAUAGACGAUAUCCAUCUCAAUCCUUCCAGAACCUUUCAGUUCGGUCAGCAAACCGCUCUCGAGCUCCAAGUUCUGCAAGAUCGGGUCGCUUGAGGACUAGCUUUCACAAUCAGUCUCCUACAAUGUCAUCUAGGGGACGGAGUCUUCAGUUUCCCCCAAAUAUGGAUUUUGAGACGAGAAUUCAUAUAUUGGAAGCAUUGGAUGCAGCAGGGGGCAAUAGUAAUGACAUGAGACUGGAUGGUCACUUAUUUCAACGUGAUUUCAAUGAAAGUGAUUAUGAGAUGCUUUUGGCCCUUGAUGAGAACAAUCACCAGCAUGUUGGUGCAUCUGCAGAUCAGAUUAAUGGUUUGCCGCUUUCAACUGUCCAGACUGAGAACUUUGAAGAAGCUUGUGCGAUCUGCCUCGAGACACCAAGCACUGGAAAUAUAAUUCGUCAUCUUCCUUGCUUGCACAAAUUUCACAAAGAUUGCAUUGAUCUGUGGCUGAGAAGAAGAAGAUCAUGCCCAAUUUGCAAGUCCAGCAUCACUUGAUUUGUGUGCAACUGAGUUGUUCAAUCCACUGCCUUGUAGCAGUUUAGACAUAAGUUGCAAGUAUAUCUCCUGAUGUUCAUGGCUAAAACAGUCUCCUUUGACAGGAAAAUAAUAGGGUAUCAACAAGCUUCAGAAGUCUUCAACCUUGUAUUGGAUUACAUUCCAGUGUGCGGUUGGGCAUUCAGUGGCUUGUUUCCCUUACUGAGGUUCAUGGAGAUAGCAAUCUCAGUAUGUCUAUAGACUGUACCUCUGUUGGGUUGGCCAAGAACCUGAUUAGAAUGAAUUAAAACUGAAGAGGCGGCUUACCCAUUCAACCUGCAUCAUAUGCUUUGAUGAAAUCCCGGCCUCCAUAUGGCUGCAACAAAUGAAAUCUGGGUACUAAUGGUAGUCAAAUAGACUUGCCAGUUCUUCCCUGUCGUGCACGUGACAGUAGCUCUACCGGACUUCAAUGAAGCAGAUCUCAAACCCUUGGAGUUUAGAUUCUGGCUAACAUCUCAUGAGGUUUCACCACAUUAAUGGUUGAAGGGUACUUGGUGAGUGGUACAAGGUUGGCAACAUACUGGGAUGGAAGUCGAGGCCAGAAUAUUCGAGUGGGAAGAAAUAUACCAGCCUCAUUGAACUUCCAUUCUCAUGGUGCUCAGGAUCUUGUAAACAUGGUUUGAGGUAUUGGAUUCCUCGGCAACCUGAUAGGAAUCGGAUUGGUCAUAUAAGACUGUUUUGCUCUCAUAGAUCGAUUUCUGAGUGUAUUUUGACAAAUAUAACUUUUGUCUGUACUAUGUACUGAUCUAGGAUUGGUAGGUGCCGAAUGCCAAUACUGAUCCAGAAUACCUCAAACCAUGCCUGUAACACCAAUGUAUUUUUUAGCCAUAUAGGAGAUUCAAUUCUCUUGUAAACCAGAUACAUAGCCACCUAGCUGCUGCUGCUUCUUCUUGGCCUUAAAAAUCUUUCAUAUGACGAAUCAUAUAGGAUCCAAAUUUUGUGGAGAGGUAGAUUAUGUAUGUC